rnacentral:lncRNA from 1 species
UCCGUAUCCACUCUUUCUCGUAGAAUCGGACCUCCUCCUUGACAUACGUUGCUGCUCGGCGGAGAACAUUCUCGCCGAGAUGAACACUGUAUGCAAGUUCAACAAGUAUGGAUUUGAAAAAACCAUAUUGAAUUUGACAAGAUAAACCGUCUAGACAAGGUAGCAUCAUUCUUAAAUCACUACAAGAAUACAUACUAUAUAUGACACAUCAAUCUCCCUCACAUUCUAGCUCAAAAUACCUUUCCAUUUUCUACUUUAUCACAUUCUAGCAAAU